AUGGAGAAGUGUCUUUAUGCAGGUGGGAGAAAGGUGUUGAUUAAGUCAGUUGUGCAAUCUAUACCAACAUAUUCCCUGGCAUGUUUCAAGCUACCAAGAGGUCUGUGCAGGCACAUUAACGGUCUCUUGCGGAAAUUUUGGUGGGGCAGCAAAAGGGGCGACUGGAAGACUGCCUGGGUCUCGUGGAAGACCAUGUGCAAGCCCAANNNNNNNNNNNNNNNNNNNNNNNNNNACAUUGAACGUUUUAACUUUACUUUGUUAGCUCGCCAGGCUUUGAGGCUAUUGCAGGACCCAAAAUCUCUCAGCGCUCACGUUCUGAAGGCAAGAUAUUAUCCACAAUGUGAUAUUCUUAGUGCGACGUUGGGCGACCAUCCAUCUUAGGUAUGGCGGUCAAUCAAGGAGGGCAAGGAGAUUUUGUCGUUGGGAUUGAUCAAGCGAGUUGGUUCAGGCAACAAAACUAGCAUCUGGCAAGAUAAAUGGUUGUCGCGUGACUAUGAGCUACAUCUAAUUUGUGUGAGGUACUAA
rnacentral:rRNA from 1 species